rnacentral:rRNA from 1 species
UACGUAGGUGGCAAGCGUUGUCCGGAUUUACUGGGCGUAAAGGGCGUGCAGGCGGUUUGUUUAGUCCAGGGUGAAAGCUCCCGGCUCAACUGGGAGAGGUCCUUGGAUACUGGCAGACUUGAGGGAGGUAGAGGAGAGUGGAAUUCCCGGUGUAGUGGUGAUAUGCGUAGAUAUCGGGAAGAACACCAGUGGCGAAAGCGGCUCUCUGGGGACCACCUGACGCUGAGGCGCGAAAGCGUGGGGAGCAAACAGG